rnacentral:rRNA from 1 species
ACAGGCUUAACACAUGCAAGUCGAGGGGCAGCGGGAUUGUAGCAAUACAAUUGCCGGCGACCGGCGCACGGGUGAGUAACACGUAUCCAACCUUCCGGUUACUCGGGGAUAGCCUUUCGAAAGAAAGAUUAAUACCCGAUAGUAUAAGAUUUCCGCAUGGUUUUCUUAUUAAAGAUUCAUCGGUAACCGAUGGGGAUGCGUUCCAUUAGAUAGUAGGCGGGGUAACGGCCCACCUAGUCGACGAUGGAUAGGGGUUCUGAGAGGAAGGUCCCCCACAUUGGAACUGAGACACGGUCCAAACUCCUACGGGAGGCAGCAGUGAGGAAUAUUGGUCAAUGGGCGAGAGCCUGAACCAGCCAAGUAGCGUGAAGGAUGACGG